AGAGUUUGAUCAUGGCUCAGGACGAACGCUGGCGGCGUGCCUAACACAUGCAAGUCGAACGGAGAUAUGAUUUCGGUUAUAUCUUAGUGGCGAACGGGUGAGUAACGCGUGAGCAACCUGACCUUCAGAGGGGGAUAACACUUGGAAACAGGUGCUAAUACCGCAUAAGACCACGACCCGACAUCGGGAUGCGGUCAAAGGAGCAAUCCGCUGAGGGAGGGGCUCGCGUCCCAUUAGAUAGAUGGCGGGGUAACGGCCCACCAUGUCGACGAUGGGUAGCCGAGCUGAGAGGCUGAUCGGCCACACUGGAACUGAGACACGGUCCAGACUCCUACGGGAGGCAGCAGUGGGGAAUAUUGGGCAAUGGGCGCAAGCCUGACCCAGCAACGCCGCGUGAGGGAAGAAGGCCUUCGGGUUGUAAACCUCUGUCCUUAGUGACGAAACAAAUGACGGUAGCCAAGGAGGAAGCCCCGGCUAACUACGUG
rnacentral:rRNA from 1 species